GCGCACCAGUCGAGAAUCCUUCGCAAUGCGGGAAACCGCGGCGAGGGGACUCCCAGUGCCUACGCUCAGCGUAGGCUGUUCCCGAGCCUAGAAAGCUCGGGGAGUAAGGGCUGGGUAAGACGGGUGCCAGCCGCCGCGGUAAUACCCGCAGCCCGAGUGGUGGCCACUAUUAUUGGGCCUAAAGCGUCCGUAGCCGGCCCGGUAAAUGCCUGGGUAAAUCGUGAGGCCUAACCUCACGAAUUCCGGGUAGACUGCCGGGGCUAGGGACCGGAGGAGGGAGAGGGUACUCCAGGGGUAGGGGUGAAAUCCUGUAAUCCCUGGAGGACCACCGGUGGCGAAGGCGCUCUCCUAGGACGGGUCCGACGGUGA
rnacentral:rRNA from 1 species